ensembl:lncRNA
UCAUUUUAGUUUUUUGUAAAAGCAUUGUUUCAACUGACUGGUUGAUUUGUACGUUGUCAUACUUUUGAAUUUAAUUUAAUGAUUUUAACUACAAUACCAUAUAAUUGUUUUUCUAGCAUUUGGAAACCGUCUGUACAUUACGUGGCAGUAAAAAGAAAAUCUGAAUUGUUCCUUCUGACGUCAAAUGAUGAAUUUGCAGGAAAGUCAAAUUGGCCUGCUUCGUCCCGUGAGCUCCUUGUAGUUCCCUGUGAUGGUCUCAGGACCCCCGGUUACUCCGCAAGACAUUUGAUUUCCAUGUCUGUAUGACAGCAGACCCUUGUUGAGUGUCGCCAAUCAUCUGACCUCUUUGUAGCCCUCCGAGGUCAGGACACUCACGCAAUGCCCCUGGUGUAUGCCGAAUGUUGGCAUGUGUGUUUGUGGAGUCUUGAGGUGCACAGGGAUCCAAAGAAGCAGGGGGCGAGGCGUGUAUGAGAACGGGGGGGGCAGUUUGUUUCUUUCCCCAGUUGCCAGAGAAACACCCAGCACAUGCGUCUGCUGCUGCACUUGUCAGACAAUGGCGCUGCUGCUUAGCAUUCAGAGCGAGAGGCCAAGGUGGCGCUUCCCACCAUCUGCCAACAAAGGCCCAGGUCACCCAGGCUGCCUCAACCCCCCCCCCCUCUCACACCUCCCCUCCUCCCCCUCUCACGUCGUCCUUCCCUCCCCCCACAGCUCACCUCGCCUCGCUGCUGGUCCAGCUGAGAAAACCCAGGCUUUCUCCCCAUUUACCCCCUUCCCUCCCACUCCUCCGCUUUCAUGGUCAGUGUUUGUUUGGACAAAAGGAAGAGAGCAGUUGACUGUGAAGUAUGAACGUAAGCGGUGAGCCAGACGUGCAGGUGCUGCCGGCGUGAGCUGCGUAGCGGACCCGGCCGCUCUGCCUCUCGCCGCCGUACUGCUGCGCUACAGGACAGGUGUGUGCCGCCCGCAUCAGAUCAAGAUAUUCUCAUGAGCGUACUCUGUGGGAUGUUAUAAAUAAACUGCUGAGUUGUUAUGAGCCAGCAUGCAGGAUUGUUCUUUCCAGAGAGGGAGUGGUCUGCAGAGGAAGACAUUCGGCUCGCUGUCAAAACACUUUUUUUUUAUCUCAAGUGACAUUUCCACAUAAUUGCCGAUGAAGUUUUCUUUUUCUGACACAACCAGCAGAAUUGUCUCAUUAUAUAUAUAUUUAUAUAUAUAUAUAUAUAUAUAUAUAUAAUGAUUAUACUCUCAUUGCAUUUUGACUGAUCUUUGGAUACUCAGUAUUUACAGUGAGGUGUGUGUUUGCAGACCCAGAACGUUCCCAUCCACACGUCAGCAAGUAGUGCUACGUCUUAUACCGCGCUAACACUUGUGUCCAGGAGUUCAUCUACCUUACUGCACGGGCAGUUUAGAACACACUACUUGUGUGCAGUGUAAACGGGUUGAGUACUGUGAACAGUAAACAGAGAGACAUAACAUUUCUGCUGGUUUUUAAAACAUAGACCAGU